rnacentral:sRNA from 1 species
AUGGCACCCCACGAUCUCCGCCGUCCGUUCAAGCGAGCAGCGAUCUCCGAUCAACAGAGGCGCAGGGAACUCUCCCUACAGCGCCAAGCACAGCACCGCCGCGACGCCCAACACCAAGCUCGCUGCUUAGCCUCUUUCCUCAACCCCCACUCCGAACCCGAACCCGAAACCACAUCCGAAACCGAACCCGAACCCUCAGACUCACCAAAAGAGCUCGACAUUCGCCACGCCUCGAAACUGAAAGGCGCCGAAGCUCGUAAAUGGUUCGCCCGACAACUCAUGCUCCCCGAGUGGAUGAUCGACGUCCCUGAUCAACUCCCCCAAGACUGGUCUCUCUCUCACAGUUUUCGAUGUUCACAUAAAUGUCCACAUUUAAAUUCAAGUUUUGUUUUGUGUUUUUUAUAUGUAGGUAUGUGUUUGCGAGGCCAGCAGGGAAGCGAUGUUUUGUGGUGUCGAGCAAUGGAACGACAAUGAGUAGGUUGCGAAAUGGUUCGAUGCUGCACCAUUUUCCUUCUGCGUUGCCUAGUGGAGCUAGGACUAAAGAUUCCUCAGGCUCUGCUCAGUCUUAUUCUAUACUUGACUGCAUUUUUCAUGAGGUAUAUAUAUAUAUAUAUACAUAUGGAUUAGCAAAGUCUUUUAGUUAGUAAUUGUUCAAUUGUGAAUUGCAAUGCACUUUUUCCUCUUACUUUUAAACUUGUUUAACUCAAGUUUGUUUAUUUUUGCUCUUAUCUUAACUCAUUAUUAAGUAUGAAUGCUUCAUUUAGGGCGCUGUACCCGUGUCUACACUUGACAUGCGUGUCCCAGCCGUGUGUAAAAAAUAUGUAGGACGCUGAUGGGACACAAGAACAAGAGGAGUCAAAUACCCUUUUACAAAACAUAGAGAUUGUUCAUGCUCUGAAUGGUAAUAGUGCAUUUGAAAAUUAAAUAUUUACUUUUUAAUUUGAUACAUAUAUUUAACAUUAUGUGAAAAAUAAAUGCUUAAUUAUAUAUAGAAAAUAUAAAUAAAAAUAUUUUUAAUGGGCAUGUCUUGCUGUGUUUGUGUCCUAUGUUUUCAAAAAUUUCUGUGUCUCAUUGUGGUACUUGUACCCAUGUCCAUGCUUCUUAGCUCAUUAAUGAGUGCCUUAAGGGCACAUGUUAAGGAAUAUUAAACGAUCUUGAUAAAUUAGCAAUUGAAUCAAAAACUUAAGUUGAUAAUAUAUUUAUUCUUUAUUGUAACACUCUCUCUCAUGUGUGGGUCCAAACUGAACAUGGAAUAGAAUUUCUAAAUGGGGAGGUAGAGUAGAGAUAGGAUUCAACUUUAGGACCAUUUGCUCUGAUACCAUGAUAAUAUCAUGUCUCCCAAAUGCUUAAGUCGAUUGAGAAUGGGUGAAUUUAAUCCUUUAACAAUUAUUCUAAUAGAUCUUUAAAAAAGAUAAUUCAUUAGUUUGCAUGCAUAAUUCAUUGAUCGGGUGUUAAACUUGUUAGCAAAAGCUUUCUCAAAAUAAAUCUGCCUUAGCAUUUGUGGUUUGAUUUUGUGAUAAUUGGGUUUUGUGACUUUGCAGUCGGAUCAGACUUACUAUGUGAUAGACAUGGUGUGCUGGCGGGAGUACUCACUAUAUGACUGCACGGCUGAGUUUAGGUUCUUUUGGUUGAGCUCCAAACUUGUGGAGACUGGUGCGUGUGACCUGCCUUCGCAGUAUCAUAGAUACAGAUUUAGUCUGGUUCCGGUGUACAAUUGUGACCAGGCUGGCCUAUCUGCAGCUUAUACUGGUGCAGUCCCUUACGUGAAGGACGGUUUGUUUUUUUAUAACAAGUAUGACCUUUUUUUCUAUAGCGUGGACAAAGUUAAAUGCUAUGAAUGUUUAUUGUUGGAUUGGCUGAGUUAUUCUUACAAAUGUAAUUAUAGGUUAAUUUCAAUUAAAAAAAGGAAAAAAAUAAAUAAAAUCAUAGGUCAAUAGUGCCUGUAUGAACUGUUUGCUAUUGUGAAUUUGGGUUGGGCUUGCUAAAUUGGUGAGUUACUUGCUUGACUAGGAUUAGGAAGUUCUAGUGCAUUGCUUGGAUGUGUAUGCUAUUUUGUGGUGCUAUUAGGGUUUUAUUACAUGUGGGGUUUGUUGACUUGGGCUGGGAUUGAUAGGUAAGAUGAUGUUUUUUCUCUGGUUUAUUGUGGAUUCAUGCACAUUGUUGAACCAUGCCCCUCAUUGUGUUCUUCACGGAUACACAAUCAUUUUUUUUUUCAUUUUCUGCUUUCUUGUUUGAUCAUGUGACUUGGGCACAAACGUGUGCAAGGGAGCACAUUUUUAUCAGAAUGAAUGUCCAAUCACUUAUAGCAUGUGUCUCAUUGUUGUUGCUCAUUUCAAUUUAGAACAAUUUUUAAAUCCAUAGUUGCCAUAUCAUUGUACCUACUAACUUAUCAAAAAAAAAAAAAAAAAUAUCAUUGUACCUACUAUGCAUUGUAUUUGUUCGGUUAUGAAUUAUAGAAUUCCUUUGGGGGCCCGAUGGCACUUCCAGUCUCCAUAAGUAUGGGGUGGUGGGUAAGGCUGUGGGUUCAUAUCUUGUUGGGUAUGUUAGUUAAUUACCAAGAAAAAAAAUUCCUUUUUUAUUUAUUAAUUCCUAAUGCCAUUUGCAUUUUUUCUUUCUUUGGCAUGCCCAUUAUCAGACUGGAAAUACGCCACUAG